UACAACAGGCCCAAAACGGCCCGGAUUCUAAACGGCCCAAGGGGGCCCAAAGACUAGGCAAGCGCAGGGAACCCUAGGGUUCCCUCUCCUUUGCGUCGCUCCUCCUCGGGCGCAACGCCCACGCCUCGUCCCGAGGCCUGCCCAGCCUCCAUUGACACUAAAAUAGCAAUCCUCUCCGUUGACCCCCGACACCUGCAAAAAAGACCAAAAGAAGCAGCACAGAAACGGCAACGAGAAGACAGAAACAAAAGCAAAACAUAGAAAAGAAAAUAGCAAACAGUAACAUGGACCAACAAUGUAAUCGUGGCUAUAAAAGCCACUAAAAUAACCUUGUAAAAAAGGGGGGAUCAAUCGAAUAGAAAAGGAGAGCAAAAGUCAAUCAAAAAAAAGGUUGAUAGUCUCUUUUAUCUUCAAGUUUCUACUCCUGUUUUUUAAUUUUUAUUUUUUUUCGAAUAUUAUUAUAAGUAUAAAGAGGAAAAGGGGUUAAAACGUACUUGGGGGUUGGGUCGUGCGCCGUCGACGGAGGUCCCCUCCGUUCGUCAAGGUCACGAAAGCCCUUCGAGGGUUCGUUCGUGUUGCAACCGGGGACAAAGGCCGAAAGGCCAUUUCCUUUU
rnacentral:lncRNA from 1 species